AUCUGGUUGAUCCUGCCAGUUGUCAUAUGCUUGUCUCAAAGAUUAAGCCAUGCAUGUCUAAGUAUAAGCAAUCUAUACUGUGAAACUGCGAACGGCUCAUUAAAUCAGUUAUAGUUUAUUUGAUGGUACCUUACUACAUGGAUAUCUGUGGUAAUUCUAGAGCUAAUACAUGCCUAAAAAAGCCCUCACGGGGGUGUAUUUAUUAGAUUAAAGACCGUUCCUGCAAAGGAUUUGGUGAAUCAUGAUAACUGCUCGAAGCUCAUGGCCUUGUGCCGGAGCUGCUUCAUUCAAAUACCUGCCCUAUCAGCUUUCGAUGGUACGGUAGUGCCUACCAUGCGUUAACGGGUAACGGGGAAUUAGGGUUCGAUUCCGGAGAGAGAGCCUGAGAAACGGCUCUCAUAACUAAGGUUAGCAGCAGGCGCGCAAAUUAUCCACUUCCGACACGGAGAGAUAGUGACAAUAAAUAACAAUAGAGGCUCUUUGGGUCUCCUAAUUGGAAUGAGUACAAUCUAAAUCCCUUAACGGGGAUCAAUUGGAGGGCAAGUCUGGUGCCAGCAGCCGCGGUAAUUCCAGCUCCAAUAGCGUAUAUUAAAUUUGUUGACGUUAAAAAGCUCGUAGUCGACUUUCGCCCUAGCUGGCCGGUCCGCUUUUUUUGAGUGUGUACUGGACCCAGCUGGGGCUUUACCUCCUGGUGAACUGGCAUGUUCUUUAUUGGGCGUGCCAGGGAACCCGGAAUUUUACUUUGAAUAAAUCAGAGUGUUCAAAGCAGGCAUGUUUGCCCGAAUGUUACAGCAUGGAAUAAUAGAAUAGGAUGUGUGCCUCUAUUGGUCUUUUAGAGGCACCUUAAUGAGAAAUAGGGGCGGCUCGGGGGCAUUUGUAUUCAAUUGCUAGAGGUGAAAUUCUUGGAUUUAUUGAAGACAAACUACUGCGAAAGCAUUUGCCAAGGACGCUUUCAUUGAUCAAGAACGAAGGUCGGGGGAUCGAAACCGAUUAGAUACCGUUGUAGUCUCGACAGUAAACUAUGCCGAUGGCCGAUUGCCGAGGGUUUUUUUAAUGACCCCGUCAGCAGCCAAAGAGAAAUCUUGAAUUAGGUCCGUGGGGAGUAUGGUCACAAGGCUGAAACUUAAAGGAAUUGACGGAAGGGCACCACCAGGAGUGGACAUGCGGCUUAAUUUGACUCAACACGGGGAAACUCACCAGGUCCAGACACAAAAAGGAUUGACAGAUUGAUAGCUCUUUCUUGAUCUUGUGGUUGGUGGUGCAUGGCCGUUCUUAGUUGGUGGAGUGAUUGUCUGCUUAAUUGCGAUAACGAACGAGACCUUAACCUGCUAAAUAGCCCGGCCGGCUUUGGCUGGUCGCUGGCUUCUUAGAGGGACUUUCAGCUUUUAGCUGAAGGAAGUUUGAGGCAAUAACAGGUCUGUGAUGCCCUUAGAUGUUCUGGGGCCGCACGCGCGCUACACUGACAGAGACAGCGAGUUUUUUUCCUUGGCCGGAAGGUCUGGGUAAUCCUGUGAAACUUUGUCGUGAUGGGGAUAGAGCAUUGCAAUUAUUGCUCUUCAACGAGGAAUUCCUUGUAAGCGCAAGUCAUCAGCUUCCGUUGACUAUGUCCCUGCCCUUUGUACACACCGCCCGUCGCUACUACCGAUUGAAUGGCUUAGUGAGGUCUUCGGAUUGGCGCUUGGGAGCUGGCAACGGCACCCGAAUGCUGAAAAGUUGCACGAACUUGGUCAUUUAGAGGAAGUAAAAGUCGUAACAAGGUCUCCGUA
rnacentral:rRNA from 1 species